AAAAAUCAUGGAAAUUGUUGGACUUGGCUUCACAUUCUGGUUUAGCUAUCGGUAUCUGAUAUUCAAGAAAAACAGAGAUGAGUUGUUUGCAAAAAUUGAAGAUCUCAAGGGACUGAUUGUAGGGUCUGAUGAUGAUUGACGUAAGAGAUAUCUAGAAUUAUCCUGCAAUUAUCUUUAAUGAGAAUACAUCUAUGCAAAUUCAACCAAUGCUGAAAUUCUGUUAUACAAACUCAAUUUGAGAGCUGGCGGUAUAUUUGAGCAAUCUGCACAUG